rnacentral:piRNA from 1 species
AAGGACAAGUUUGAUGGGCGACCUAC